GCAGCAUAGAGAGCUUGCUCUCUGAUGGCGAGUGGCGAACGGGUGAGUAAUAUAUCGGAACGUGCCUAGUAAUGGGGAACAACUAAUCGAAAGAUUAGCUAAUACCGCAUACGACCUACGGGUGAAAGCAGGGGAUCUUCGGACCUUGCGUUAUUAGAGCGGCCGAUAUCUGAUUAGCUUGCUGGUAGGGUAAAAGCCUACCAAGGCAACGAUCAGUAGCUGGUCUGAGAGGACGAUCAGCCACACUGGAACUGAGACACGGUCCAGACUCCUACGGGAGGCAGCAGUGGGGAAUUUUGGACAAUGGGGGCAACCCUGAUCCAGCCAUUCCGCGUGAGUGAAGAAGGCCUUCGGGUUGUAAAGCUCUUUCGCAAGAGAAGAAAACUUGCUAUCUAAUAAAUAGUAAGCAUGACGGUAUCUUGAUAAGAAGCACCGGCUAACUAUGUGCCAGCAGCCGCGGUAAUACAUAGGGUGCGAGCGUUAAUCGGAAUUACUGGGCGUAAAGCGUUCGCAGGCGGUUUUAUAAGUCAGAUGUGAAAUCCCCGAGCUCAACUUGGGAACUGCGUUUGAAACUGUAAGACUAGAGUGUGUCAGAGGGGGGUAGAAUUCCAUGUGUAGCAGUGAAAUCCGUAGAUAUGUGGAGGAAUACCGAUGGCGAAGGCAGCCCCCUGGGAUAACACUGACGCUCAUGAACGAAAGCGUGGGGAGCAACCAGGAUUAGAUACCCUGGUAGUCCACGCC
rnacentral:rRNA from 1 species